rnacentral:lncRNA from 1 species
GUCUGAAUGAUCUAAUUUUAUUUCGUUCCAACAGGUGCGCAUUCUAGUGUUGACAUCCCACAAUGACAAGCCUUUGUUAACUGUUUCCUCAUUCUGAUGUUGCUGUCCUGUGUAAACUGCGCUUAUACGAUUAGUAUUGGCAAUCUAUUUUUUACAAGCUUCCGGAACCAUACUUUCUGUAUAAAUUGUAGUAUCACGUGAAUGGUCAUUUUUCGCGGGUUAAUUUCCCUAUCAGACCAUUCUCUCGCCAACUUCGAACUGGUCAAGUUCAGAUUUAUAGUUGGUUCAUUAUUGUUUGAUUUUUUUCUUGUUUUUGUACUAUAUAUUGGUAUUUUUUGUUUGCUAUUACACAUUUUUAUGAUAUUUUGUUUAUGUAAACAUAAGCUAACUUUUAGUAUUGUCCAAGUACACCUCUCGAGACGAUCUUCCGAGCAUUAGGGUUUGGACACAGGUUUCCAUAUCGACUAAGGUAACUUGAUUGUUGGUUUUUCCUGGCCGGCAGGUUCGUUUAUGACGGAGUCAAUGUUUUGAUUUGGUAUUGAAAGCAUUGUUUAUAUGUAUAUAGAUAUUAUUUGCAUAAAAUACUAUGUUUGUUAUGAUAGAUUAUAAUAAAAUCCGGUGUCCUACUAGUCUCGUGGGCGAUCGGCUCUAGUCUUGUGGGCGAUCGGCAAUUAUAAAUUGUGUUUGAUAUAUUUAUUGUUAUAUAUAAGUAUAGUGUGCGUACGUAACUAUAUAAACAGAUAAACAAUCAAUAUCUAUUAUAAUGGAUACAGUAGCCCAGUUUUAUAUAAAACUUGCGAUUUAGGCGGACACAGCUGGACACAACGUUAUUUCUGAAUGAAAUUUCUAUAAUUUGGGGGGGGGGGGUUACAGGCGGACACAAGAGGACACAACGUUAUUUCUUUAUAAAGCUUCUAUAAUUGGGGGAUACAGGCGG